GGGGAGGUCGCAUAGCCAGGUCGAGUGCGGUGGUUUGCUAAACCACUACAGCGGUUUAUCCCGCUGUCGCGGGUUCGAAUCCCGCCCUCCCCGCCC
rnacentral:tRNA from 1 species